rnacentral:rRNA from 1 species
AUUUUCCGGUUGAUCCUGCCGGAGGUUACUGCUAUCGAGGUUCGACUAAGCCAUGCGAGUCGAAUGUAGCAAUACAUGGCGAACUGCUCAGUAACACGUGGACAACCUGCCCUUAGGUUGGGUAUAAACCCGGGAAACUGGGUAUAAUACCCGCUCCCGUCUCGAUUGCUGGAAUGCAUCGAGAUUUAAAGCUCCGGCGCCUAAGGAUGGGUCUGCGGCCUAUCAGGUAGUAGUGGGUGUAGCGUACCUACUAGCCUACGACGGGUACGGGUUGUGAGAGCAAGAGCCCGGAGAUGGAUUCUGAGACACGAAUCCAGGCCCUACGGGGUGCAGCAGGCGCGAAAACUUUACAAUGCUGGCAACAGCGAUAAGGGAACCUCGAGUGCCAGGUUACAAAUCUGGCUGUCGAGAUGCCUAAAAAGCAUUUCAUAGCAAGGGCCGGGCAAGACCGGUGCCAGCCGCCGCGGUAACACCGGCGGCUCGAGUGGUAACCGUUAUUAUUGGGUCUAAAGGGUCUGUAGCCGGCCGGAUAAGUCUCUUGAGAAAUCUGGCAGCUUAACUGUCAGGCUUUCAGGAGAUACUGUCUGGCUCGAGGCCGGGAGAGGUGAGAGGUACUUCAGGGGUAGGGGUGAAAUCUUGUAAUCCUUGAAGGACCACCAGCGGCGAAGGCGUCUCACCAGAACGGACCUGACGGCAAGGGACGAAAGCUAGGGGCACGAACCGGAUUAGAUACCCGGGUAGUCCUAGCCGUAAACGAUAUUCGUGGGGAUGUCGGCCACGGUGCGACCGUUGUCGGUGCCGUAGGGAAGCCGUGAAGCGAGCCACCUGGGAAGUACGGCCGCAAGGCUGAAACUUAAAGGAAUUGGCGGGGGAGCACCACAACGGGUGGAGCUUGCGGUUUAAUUGGAUUCAACGCCGGAAAU